GACGAACGCUGGCGGCGUGCUUAACACAUGCAAGUCGAACGGAAAGGCCCUGCUUUUGUGGGGUGCUCGAGUGGCGAACGGGUGAGUAACGCGUGAGUAACCUGCCCUUGACUUUGGGAUAACUUCAGGAAACUGGGGCUAAUACCGGAUAGGAGCUCCUGCUGCAUGGGGGGGGUUGGAAAGUUUCGGCGGUUGGGGAUGGACUCGCGGCUUAUCAGCUUGUUGGGGGGGGAGUGGCUUACCAAGGCUUUGACGGGUAGCCGGCCUGGGAGGGUGACCGGCCACGUUGGGCCUGAGGUCCGGCCCGGCCUCCUACGGGCGGCAGCAGUGGGGAAUAUUGCACAAUGGGCGGAGGCCUGAUGCAGCAACGCCGCGUGCGGGAUGACGGCCUUCGGGUUGUAAACCGCUUUCGCCUGUGCCGAAGCGUGAGUGACGGUAAUGGGUAAAGAAGCACCGGCUAACUACGUG
rnacentral:rRNA from 1 species